rnacentral:misc_RNA from 1 species
AGAUUUUAAAUUCUUUUUCAUAUAAAGAAUGGAUCAGGCUGUUGUGCUAACAUGGCACCAGUUCUCACAGAACCUUCAACAGUCGGCCGAGGUGAUGAGGGGCCAACAACAUUUUACUGAUGUUACUCUAGCAGCCGAGGAUAGACAGAUAGAAGCCCACAGGUUUAUCCUGGCGUCCAGUAGCUCGUUCUUCCUGAACCUGUUGUACAAGAACCCGCACAGCAACCCUUUGAUCUACCUGUCCGGGAUCAAGUUCAGGGAUCUUGUCUCUAUACUAGACUUCAUGUACCGCGGACAGGUUCGCAUUGAGCAAGCCCGUCUUCAGAGUUUCCUGGCUGUAGCAGAGGAACUAGGGAUUAAAGGACUUGCUGAGGAGAAUAAACAAACAGAAGACUCUCAAACUGAACCUCAACCUGAAACUGAACCUGAACAACAGGAAGUGGAAUGCUCUGGAAAUGAUCCGGAAUCUAUGACGACGACUGAGAAAAAUAGUGACUUUACUCUAACCUCGGGAAAUGCAUUUCUGGAACAAAAGUCGGAGAAUAAUCCAAUGGAAUCCUAUGAAGAAGAAGAAGAAACUGAAGAUAACUUAGUUUUAAACCUGAGUGAGCCUAGAGAUGAGGUUAAGGAGGAUCUAAACGAGGCCACAUGUUCCCAGGACAGUACAGAUCAAAACUCCAGGAGUAAUAAGAAAAUAAGAAUUGUUCACGGAUCCAUGAGUUCAGUUGAAACCAGUACAGUUCAGGAGUUUGAUAGUUCUAGGAAUAGUUCAACUAUCUUGGCAGAUAUUGAACUGCAAACCAUUACAGGGACCCGGAGUAUGGUUGAGAUUCCGGAGGACGUGAUAAACUUCUCCGUCAAGAGAUCUAGCUCAUCGAUAGAAUUUGAGGCUGGUUUAUCUAAUACAGAAGAUAUUUCACUAUUCCCAAACUCAGAUACUUAUAGAGAUAUGCGCUUGAGAAGUCCGGACAAAUCUGGUUAUGGCAAGGUGACAAAGCAAAGUACUAAACGCGCGGAAACAUCAAGUAUUACUGGUAGUGUAGAGAGAUCUAGUUCUGGGAGAGGAAGAGGGAAAAGACCUAGCUCUGGUAAUCUGGAGAAACCUAGAGUUGGAAGACAUUACACAAGGAGUGUUGAGAGACCUAAUAGUGGUAGUGGCGGGGGGAAAAGACCUAGCUCAAGAACCUCAGAGAACUUUAGUGCUCCUAGAAUGAGGUUAAGUGUUGAACCAACUCCUAAGAGGAAAAGAACAAAUUUGAACUCUAAACUUGAUUCAACACCGACAAGAACAGUUCUAAAAUCUAACAAUAUAACACAGAAAAAGGUCACAAAAAUAUGUUCUAAAAAGAAAUCCCCCAAAUCCCUUAAGUUAAGUUCUGGAGAGGAGAAUGAUAAUCCUAACACCCAACUAGAUAAAGAAUCUGGAAAUAAAGAAGAACAGAGAAAGGUUGAAGCUGAGCCUGUAAACAAUGAAGGUUCGGAGAAUGACGAUCUGAUGGAUGAAAAUGAAUGGAUUGAACUGAAGAACAAUACUAGGGUAGCAGACGUGGUAAACUUGAUGUUAACAAACAUGAAGAGAGAGUCAAUGUGGAACUGUAGAAUAUGUCACAUCAACUUUCCUGUCAAGAGAAUUGGCUGGAUGCAUGUCGCAAAACGGCAUGUCAUCGACAAGCUGGCGAAUAUUUAAACAAAACCCAUUUAUUUUAUCGUAUUUUUGUUUCUUAGUUGUACUUCUAGUUUCUAACAAUCUUAAUGUUUUAUAUUUUUGUGCCAUUUUAUGCUUCAAGUAUUACGUUUUUCUUCUAACAUGAUCAUGUUACAUAUAUUAGUGUGAUAAGAUUCGGACCCGGUAUAACUGCAUUGUUUUAGAAUUCUGGAUCCGGUUUCACAUUUUUGAGGAUCGAGACACGAAAACCCGACAAAAGCGCAAUCUUAAUAUCUGAUAUUUAACAAAUUUCUUCUUGUUUUUCGAAGAUAACAAUAAUUCGAAGAAUAUUUGUGUCAAAUAAAGAAAAGAUCGAAAAAUCCUUAAAAUGUGAUUUUUCUGUCCGAACCCAUUUUUGGGCGAGUAUUCAGAGUCCGAUUUUGUAUCCAAUCGUUAUUUGUAAUGGAUCCUGAUUUUGUCCCUGAACAUGCCUUGAACCUUUGUACUUAAAAUUUAUUUAGAUUCAAUAGGUUUGCAAGAUAGUGUUAAACAGUUUAAAAUAUCGUUUUAUUGUUUCAGAAAAAAGAAUGGAAGAGAAUAAGAUUGUCAAGUUCUUUAAACGAAAUGCUAUGCUGACAACAAUGGGUGUCAUACUUGUCGGCAGUCAUAUAGGCUGGAGGUGGAUUCAAGACCAGGAACAUAUUAUUCCUAAAUCUCAGCGAAGUGAUUACCCUUGGGUAGAGAUUGGACGGAUUGUGAAGAGAGAAUAUUCAAAUUCCCAGAGCUCGGACAAAUCAGAUUAAAUAUCCAUAUUUUCCUGCAGAACAGAAACCAAAAUAUUUGCAUGGACACCCUUUAGUAGACGAUUAUAUUAAAGUAAAAUUUUAUCUGUAUUGAAGAAAAAUAGUUGUAAUCUUAACAAUAUAUUUGCAGA